AAUUUAUAAGAUUACCAUAUAUAUUUAAACUUUUUGUCAUGAUAUUAAUGGUCAUAUAGAGUACUAACUAACUCUAGAAAUAGGAUUUAUCUAGCUUCCUGCAUAUGAUUUCAGGCUUGAGUGUGAGCAGGUAACUAGGAAUUAAGCGAUAUACCUCGGGUGUCUUUAAUAGAUUGUAGUUCUGUACCCUCCUUGAGAUCUGCUGCAUAUGAUAUUGAAAACGUUUAAGUUUUCUUCAGUGAACUGUGACUAUUCUAACAGUGACCUGUGAAAUCUCCAAAAGGAUGAUGGAAUCCCACAAUGAUGAAAUCACCUGGAUUGUGGUAAUGCCACUAAGCUGACAAAUACCUCUGAAAGAUGCUUUGGACUACAAGCUGGUCAGAACAAUUUCCAGAUGGUUAACUCAGAUGGUUCAGCAUCAUAGACUACUGCAGCCAGAACUUCAAGAACUGCUUAUUCUAACUGCUGUUGUCUGACUGGAUGCCCAGGGAAGACUCAGGGGGCCUCCAAGUGAGAGGAGACAGAAAAAUUGGGAGCUGUGUCUGCAGGCUGCUGACAGCCUGGCCCAUUUCCUUCUGUUUCCAGUCUUCUCCAUUCCAGGGAAUCCUUGAAUCCUUGAAAUCCCAGGUCUAAGCUAGCUGGGCAGCUGGGAACCAACAAGUGAUCCUUCCCCCAACACAGUGAUCCAGUGCCUGGCCCAGCUAACUCGAGCAGCCUCUUCCCUCAGGAACCUUCCAGCAAGAGAACAGCCCGGUAGAAAUGCUAAUUUGAGGUCUUCUUGUCAUUUUCACCUCCCAGCCAUCAUCUGUCCAUCUCCUCCCAGUAGCUCAGACUAAAGAAUGUCUCUGCCCUGCCCCUGCCCCUGCCCCUGUCCUUACUCUCUCACUCCCUGCCUCUCUGAAUUUUGGGUACUGCUAUGACUGUUCUUGAGACAGGUUCUCAUCAUGUACCUCAGACUGACCUCAGACUUACUCUGUAUCCUGGGCUAUCCUGGAGCUCACGAUUUUCCCUGCCCAUCUUCCCUAUUGCUGGUGCCACAUUUGGCUUGGACUAGAAAUUUUUGACAUUAAUCUCUCCCAUACUGUUGAAUCCAUCCUGGAGAAAAGAAGACUCCUUUCAAAACUCAGUAACACCAAGGAAGAAAGCAUCCUUGGAGAUUUUUCCUUCUCAUUCCUCCGUUAAAGUUGUUUAUAGUGCUGUACAGCUCCUCUAGGGUAUACUGAGUAGAAUUCAAUUUAGAAGGACUCCAGUUACCAGGCUCUCCUCAGUUUUGUUUGUUUUAAUCUGUCAUUUGGCAGCUAGGACUAGUUAAGAUAACACUUUGUCUAGCCAUCUUCUCUAAAUUUUCAGUCAACUGUAAUUUCUCAGCAUUUGGGAUUCAGAGAAGGGGCAGGAGCCAGGAACCAGGAGAAGAACUUCAACCGUGUCCAGUCUUUCCUUUAUUUACUUACUUAUCUGCUUACUUAUUUAUACUGUUAUUAGGAGAUAGGGUCUCACUAUGCUUUCUAGGUUUGUCUCAAAUUCCUGGAUAAUCCUCUUGCCUUUCCUUUUUCAUCCUUCCCCUCGGAAUCUGUGAAAAGCGCGCCUGAAGUAA